rnacentral:rRNA from 1 species
AUGCAGUCGUACGAGAGUUUUUACUCAAGUGGCGGACGGGUGAGUAACACGUGAGAAUUUGCCUUUAGGAGGGGGAUAACAGCGCGAAAGUGCUGCUAAUACCCCAUAUGCUUUCGAGUGAAAUGAAUUUAUUCGCCUAAAGAGAAGCUCGCGGCUGAUUAGCUUGUUGGUAAGGUAAUGGCUUACCAAGGCGACGAUCAGUAUCUGGUUUGAGAGGACGACCAGACACACUGGAACUGAGACACGGUCCAGACUCCUACGGGAGGCAGCAGUGGGGAAUUUUCCGCAAUGGGCGAAAGCCUGACGGAGCAAUACCGCGUGAGGGAAGACGGCCUAUGGGUUGUAAACCUCUUUUCUCAGGGAGGAACUCAAUGACGUGUACCUGAGGAAUAAGCAUCGGCUAACUCCGUGCCAGCAGCCGCGGUAAUACG